AUACGGAGGGUCCAAGCGUUAUCCGGAAUCAUAGGGUUUAAAGGGUCCGCAGGCGGUCAAUUAAGUCAGAGGUGAAAGCCCAUCGCUCAACGAUGGAACUGCCUUUGAUACUGGUUGACUUGGGUUAUACGGAAGUAGAUAGAAUAAGUAGUGUAGCGGUGAAGUGCAUAGAUAUUACUUAGAAUACCGAUUGCGAAGGCAGUCUACUACGUAUAUACUGACGCUGAGGGACGAAAGCGUGGGGAGCGAACAGGAUUUGAAACCCUAGUAGUCC
rnacentral:rRNA from 1 species